ACGGGGUGCAGCAGGCGCGAAAACUUUACAAUGCGGGAAACCGUGAUAAGGGGACCCCGAGUGCCUGUACACGCAGGCUGUUCAGGUGUUUAAAACGCAUCUGGAGAAAGGGCCGGGCAAGACCGGUGCCAGCCGCCGCGGUAAUACCGGCGGCUCGAGUGGUGGCCACUAUUACUGGGCUUAAAGCGUCCGUAGCCGGGUUGUUAAGUCUCCUGGGAAAUCCAACGGCUCAACCGUUGGGCGUUCAGGGGAUACUGGCAAUCUAGGGAUCGGGGGAGGUGAGAGGUACUCUAGGGGUAGGAGUGAAAUCCUGUAAUCCUUGGGGGACCACCUGUGGCGAAGGCGUCUCACCAGAACGACUCCGACGGUGAGGGACGAAAGCUGGGGGAGCAAACCGGAUUAGAUACCCGGGUAGUCCCAGCUGUAAACGAUGCGCGUUAGGUGUAUCGGUGACUACGAGUUACCGAGGUGCCGAAGGGAAACCGUGAAACGUGCCGCCUGGGAAGUACGGCCGCAAGGCUGAAACUCAAAGGAAUUGGCGGGGGAGCAC
rnacentral:rRNA from 1 species